CGGUGAUUCGGCCCUCGUGCAGCUCCAUGGAGGAGGGGGUGGAGACAGACAGAGUGGUGGCAGGGAGAGGCCCCGGGAGCAGGCGCGUGGUGUUGCUGAACAGAUUUGGAGAUUGAGAGAAGACAUGCCAACUCCAUAAAACUAAAAAGCAUCAAGGUCAACUGAACCAUGAGAAGUAAGCUUUUGGCAGAGGAAGCCGUAAUCUGUUACUUUACACAUAACCUAAAUAGGUACCAAUGCUUUGUGUCCACCCCCUUGAAACUCCUGAAUGAGAAGGAUGUUCUUCUCUUAAGAUCAAGAAAUCACGUACUUCUUUCUCCAUGAACAAAACAAAACAAAACAAAAACAGAGAGAAGUGGACCGAUCCCCCAGGUUUCUUCUUGAGGAUUGGCUGAACCUGCUGGAAUGUUUACAGACCCUUCAGAGAUAGCUUAGUGAUGGUGGACUUUUCCAGAAAUACUGUGAAAUGAAGGCUGCAUGGAAUUCCGAGCUUGAAGGACAAUACAUUUUCUUUGUUCUGUCAUUUACAUAAAUCUUGAACUAUUAAUGUUCUUAUUUAAUUUUUUUCUUCUUCCUGUAGGCUUUAAAUAGACAAAGACAGUAAAGCCUGUUAUUUGGUUAUCCUCAUACAUCUGAAGCUUCUGUAUAUGCUUAAAUAUUGUGGUAGAUGCCGAGAAGAACGUCUGCUCUUUAAUAUUACCAACAUUUUAAAGAUUGUAGAGCUAUUAAGUACAGUGGAAUUUUUACUCAGCAGUGAGCCUCCCACAUAAUUUUUCAGACAUAUGCCAUAUAGCAAAAAUUUCUAGAAUAUUAUUGUUCACAAGAACUUCUGAAAUAAAUAUUAUGAGACAAAACA
rnacentral:lncRNA from 1 species